GGGGGGGGGGGGGGGGGGGGCGGGUGGGGGGGGGGCGAGGGGGGGGGGGGGGGGCUUGCUCCUCUGCCGGUGGCGGGUGACGGGUGAGUGACCCGUGGAUCAGCUACGUGUAGUCCUGGGCUCCCUUCUGGAACCCGUGGCGAAUGCCGGACAAUAUAUUGAACCGCAUGUUUCAAUCGUGAAGGCCGGUUUGGCGUUCACUUACCGAUGGAUCCACGCCGCAUGUGCUAGUUGGUAAGUGAACGGCUUACCAAUGCAACGAUGCGUAGCCGACCUGAGAGGGUGAUAGGCCACACUGGAACUGAGACACGGUCCAGACUCCUACGGGAGGCAGCAGUAGGGAAUCUUCCGCAAUGGGCGAAAGCCUGACGGAGCAACGCCGCGUGAGUGAUGAAGGUCUUCGGAUCGUAAAACUCUGGUAUUAGGGAAGAACAAAUGUGUAAGUAACUAUGCACGUCUUGACGGUACCUAAUCAGAAAGCCACGGCUAACUACGUG
rnacentral:rRNA from 1 species